rnacentral:lncRNA from 1 species
GUGUGUAACUUCUAACCAAAAUAUAUAUUUAAAACAAAGUUGAAUGAUUCCAUGCAAGAUGGUUAAAAGUAAACUGUAAGGAAGGAUAUCAUCAUAUUAAUAAUAAAUUAAAUCGGAGGUGAAACUAGGGGUGGACGUUCGGGUAUCCGUUUGGGUUCGGGUCAGGUAUUUCGGAUUUUUGGAUAUUUUGGUAUAGAGGUGUAGAACCCGUUUGGGUAUUUCUAUACUUCGGGUCGGGUUCGGAUAUUUUUAGUUCAGGUUCGGUUAUUUCGAAUCGGUUUCGGAUAUUUAGAUUUUGAAAAAACAAAAUUAAAUUUUCAUUUCUCAAAUUUCUUGUAUUUAAAAAUAUAACUUUCACUUAACUAUUUUUUAUUUUUAAUAGAUUGAAUGGUUAAUAGAUUUAGACAUAACAUUUUGAAACUAAAAAGAAAUUAAUUUGGUUAUUGUU